rnacentral:rRNA from 1 species
UGGGGAAUUUUGGACAAUGGGCGAAAGCCUGAUCCAGCAAUGCCGCGUGUGUGAAGAAGGCCUUCGGGUUGUAAAGCACUUUUGUCCGGAAAGAAAUCCUUGGCUCUAAUACAGUCGGGGGAUGACGGUACCGGAAGAAUAAGCACCGGCUAACUACGUGCCAGCAGCCGCGGUAAUACGUAGGGUGCAAGCGUUAAUCGGAAUUACUGGGCGUAAAGCGUGCGCAGGCGGUUUGCUAAGACCGAUGUGAAAUCCCCGGGCUCAACCUGGGAACUGCAUUGGUGACUGGCAGGCUAGAGUAUGGCAGAGGGGGGUAGAAUUCCACGUGUAGCAGUGAAAUGCGUAGAGAUGUGGAGGAAUACCGAUGGCGAAGGCAGCCCCCUGGGCCAAUACUGACGCUCAUGCACGAAAGCGUGGGGAGCAAACAGGAUUAGAUACCCUGGUAGUCCACGCCCUAAACGAUGUCAACUAGUUGUUGGGGAUUCAUUUCCUUAGUAACGUAGCUAACGCGUGAAGUUGACCGCCUGGGGAGUACGUCGCAAGAUUAAAACUUAAGGAAUUGACGGGGUCAUAGCUGUUUCCU